rnacentral:rRNA from 1 species
GAUGAACGCUGGCGGCGUGCCUAAUACAUGCAAGUCGAGCGAAUGGAUUAAGAGCUUGCUCUUAUGAAGUUAGCGGCGGACGGGUGAGUAACACGUGGGUAACCUGCCCAUAAGACUGGGAUAACUCCGGGAAACCGGGGCUAAUACCGGAUAACAUUUUGAACCGCAUGGUUCGAAAUUGAAAGGCGGCUUCGGCUGUCACUUAUGGACGGACCCGCGUCGCAUUAGCUAGUUGGUGAGGUAACGGCUCACCAAGGCAACGAUGCGUAGCCGACCUGAGAGGGUGAUCGGCCACACUGGGACUGAGACACGGCCCAGACGCCUACGGGGGGCAGCAGUAGGGAAUCUUCCGCAAUGGACGAAAGUCUGACGGAGCAACGCCGCGUGAGUGAUGAAGGCUUUCGGGUCGUAAAACUCUGUUGUUAGGGAAGAACAAGUGCUAGUUGGAUAAGCUGGCACCUUGACGGUACCUAACCAGAAAGCCACGGCUAACUACGUGCCAGCCGCCGCGGUAA